AGAGUUUGAUCAUGGCUCAGGAUGAACGCUAGCGGCAGGCCUAAUACAUGCAAGUCGAACGGGUUUUGGUAGCAAUACCAAAAUCAGUGGCGCACGGGUGCGUAACGCGUAUGCAACCUACCUUAAACUGGGGGAUAGCCUUCCGAAAGGAAGAUUAAUACCGCAUAAUAUCACAUGAUGGCAUCUGAGUGUGAUUAAAGAUUUAUUGGUUUAAGAUGGGCAUGCGUGCCAUUAGCUAGUUGGUAGUGUAACGGACUACCAAGGCGACGAUGGCUAGGGGUUCUGAGAGGAUGAUCCCCCACACUGGUACUGAGAUACGGACCAGACUCCUACGGGAGGCAGCAGUAGGGAAUAUUGGGCAAUGGACGGAAGUCUGACCCAGCCAUGCCGCGUGCAGGAAGAAGGCCUUCUGGGUUGUAAACUGCUUUUAUCUAGGAAGAAAACGCCCAUGCGUGGGAAACUGACGGUACUAGAUGAAUAAGCACCGGCUAACUCCGUGCCAGCAGCCGCGGUAAUACGGAGGGUGCAAGCGUUGUCCGGAUUUAUUGGGUUUAAAGGGUGCGUAGGCGGCCCGUUAAGUCAGUGGUGAAAGCCUCCAGCUCAACUGGAGAACUGCCAUUGAUACUGGCGGGCUUGAGUACAGACGAGGUUGGCGGAAUUGAUUGUGUAGCGGUGAAAUGCAUAGAUACAAUCAAGAACACCGAUUGCGUAGGCAGCUAACUAGGCUGUAACUGACGCUGAGGCACGAAAGCGUGGGGAGCGAACAGGAUUAGAUACCCUAGUAGUCC
rnacentral:rRNA from 1 species